CCUACGGGAGGCAGCAGCGGGGAAUUUUGGACAAUGGGGGCAACCCUGAUCCAGCAAUGCCGCGUGAGUGAAGAAGGCCUUCGGGUUGUAAAGCUCUUUUGUCAGGGAAGAAACGGGUGGGGCUAAUAUCCUCAUCUAAUGACGGUACCUGAAGAAUAAGCACCGGCUAACUACGUGCCAGCAGCCGCGGUAAUACGUAGGGUGCAAGCGUUAAUCGGAAUUACUGGGCGUAAAGCGUGCGCAGGCGGUUAUGUAAGUCAGAUGUGAAAUCCCCGGGCUCAACCUGGGAACUGCAUUUGAGACUGCAUGGCUAGAGUGUGUCAGAGGGGGGUAGAAUUCCACGUGUAGCAGUGAAAUGCGUAGAUAUGUGGAGGAAUACCGAUGGCGAAGGCAGCCCCCUGGGAUAACACUGACGCUCAUGCACGAAAGCGUGGGGAGCAAACAGGAUUAGAUACCCUGGUAGUCCACGCCCUAAACGAUGUCUACUAGUUGUCGGGACUUAAUUGUCUUGGUAACGCAGCUAACGCGUGAAGUAGACCGCCUGGGGAGUACGGUCGCAAGNUUAAAACUCAAAUGAAUUGACCGGNUGAGAGNGCGAGACGACGACGAGGGAGAGG
rnacentral:rRNA from 1 species